rnacentral:tRNA from 1 species
GGAUGGGUGGCCGAGCGGUCUAAGGCGGCAGUCUUGAAAACUGCUGGGUGCGUAAGUGCCCCGGGGGUUCGAAUCCCUCCCCAUCCG